GUCGGAAGUUGCUGCUGGAUAAAAGGAAACAAAACAAGGAAGGACCCUACCUGCCCACCGCACCGACUCUGACUGGUCUCAGUGUAUUGAAGUGUGUGUGUGUGCAUUGAAGAAAUUUUGUCGGUCCGCCAGUUACGACCACCAUGGAACGCUUGGUACCUUCGUCGAAUAAUAACAUUUACCAAUUCGAUGAAACAAGAUAUCAAACAAUUGGACGUGGAUUCACAGAAUUGUCUGGUGUUCAGUUCAAGAUUGCUGACAAAUAUCAACCUUUCCAAGAGCAAACUAAUUUCAUUGCCCGGUUUGCAAAUAUGUACAUAAGUGAUUCUAGAGCAGUCGGAGAAGCCUCAGCGUACACUUUUGACUUAGAGAGAUGGGUUCUAGAGAACAUGAGAGUGGACACAGCUUCAACAACUCGCUGAUGGAUUGGUCUCCUUUGAUUUCUUUUUUUUUUCAAUUACAUAUUUUUGUGAUGUAUUAACAUGAAUCGAGUCGCAAUUUCUGUAUCUUAUGUUCUUUCUUCUACUUGCAUUGUUAUCAUUUUAGCAGAGAUAAAGUAUCUAUUGUUAAAAUCAAAUUUAAAAAGUCUCAUCUGAUUCUGACUAUGAAAGUUUUCUUGAAAGGUUAAGACAGCAGGGACUUUUUUUACCUUGCCUUUUCUUUCUCAAAUACAUUUCCAAGCAAUGCUGAAGACAAAUGCAACUUACCCCUCUCACUGCGUAUUCUUGUUCUCUGUCAUAAUUUUCUCUAUUUAUUGUUUCCUGUGUGAAGUGAAGUUCACUUACACCUUGGCAAAUGAAAAUGCAUUGUUGUAUGUCAAAACAAGACUUGGGAGUAGUUCACCUAUUCUAUAGCUUUCAACUCUGUUUUGUGUUUUGCUCAUAUUGACUUGACUGUGCAUAAGCUCAGCCACUGAAAGUUGGCUACUUUUGUGCUUGAGUUUGUCUCAGUCAGUAACUUUUAUAUUUCUGUGCAGGUGAGGAAAUGUUUUGCUGAUUUUCCUUUUGUUUUCUUGUGAUUCUCUAAAACUGGACCCAUGGUAAAAAGAAAACUUACACCACUUUGUCUUGACAAAAAACUGACAACGUAAGAGGAAGAAGUAGUAGACAUAAACAAGCUUGAUUAGAGACUCAACUUUGUUCGUUAAUGACAUUCCAAAUCCACACUGUUGACAAUACUCAAGCAUCGAUUGAAGUACAAGUUUGCUAAUCAUUCUACUGACUUUCAACAUGAUUGCAAAAGAGUGUGGUCUUCACUUCAAUUCAUGAGUAACAUUAUAAAUAAAUGAAAAUAAAAAAUCAGAGAUGGGCGUUACAUUUGGAGGUCCUGCCAAAUGAGCUAAGUGUUGAUAGGGAUGUUAAAUCCAUGCACUUUACACAGUCACAUGUAGACAAGUUACUGUCAAGUAUGGGUACUCUUGUAGAAGGAGAGAAAAAAAAAUCAGAACUGGUUUAUGAGUACAAAUACAUUUUUACCAGAGAAACAUUCUACACCUGGAGAAGCACCUGGUCCUACUGGUACUUGAAGUUUACCCCAUCAUCAGAAUUGAUAUUCUGUUUAGAUCUACAUGAGAAUACUUGUAGUUAAAAGUUUAGUACACGUCUACUUUUACUUUCAUUGUACAUACAUAGAUUUCUUUCAGACAUUUUGACACUGAUCAAAGCAGAGUGUGGUGUUGUUAUGGCUAGGCUAUUAUUAGUAUUUGCCAUUGCUUGAAAAAUGCUUGUUGGGUUCGUUGGAGGAGAAAAAAUCUAUUUGAUGAAAUGUCUCCAUCUUUCUGCAUGGAUACCCUAUCCCACUAAGCCUUAGUUGGCCCUGACUGUGACAGGCAGAGUGGAAGUAAACUUUGAUAAAAAGUGUAGGUGUUUUUACGGCCCCAUCAACACAAUUUAGAUAAUUAAGAUGGGUUUCUGACCCUGUCUGUCAGGGACACCCUGAUCUGAGAGGUAUAUAUGCAAGUAUAACAUCCUAGCAGAAAUACCAAUACUCAAUAAAAAUUUGGCGCUCUGGGGAAUGAACCUAGAGUCUUUUGCAUGGGACAGCAAAGCAUCUAACACUACACCACAGAUGCCAGGAAAGUGGAAAUGACCCUGCCCCAUAAUGUCUGGAUUGUGUUGAAGGAGGCAUAUAUCAAAAGUAUACAAUUGAUAUAUUUUAUAUUGUGGUAUGCAUAAUGCUAAGCUAAUAUGUCUUUCACAUUGUUUGAAAUAUCAAAAGUAAGAAAAAAAACAUAUGUGCAUUCUUGUUUCACUUUGUCUGAUGUGAUCUUUAAUUUAAAAAAUACUAUGUAAAAGUAAAAAGUUAUCAAUGUAAGUUGUAAGUGAAAGCGUUGUCUAUUAUUAUGUGUGCACAUGUGUAUCAUGAGCUGCGGAGUGUGACACCAGGGUUAUUAUGAUGAUUAUGAUGACUAUCAUGAUGGCAGUAUGCAGCAUGUUUACACUUGACACAAACUGUCUCUUCUUCACCCAGGUGGGAAUGGGUACCCUUCUAUAGAUAGCGAAAGAUCUUCUUUGUUUGUUAAGUAUUUCUUUUGUGCACGUGUAAUCCACACCUUGCACUGUAUGCUUCCCUGGAAGCUGGGAUUGUUGUUUGUGUUUUCUAGAGUCUACUACUAGGGUAAUUGUAAUACAAUAGAUGUAAAAUACACACGGGCAUGCUUUUGCAUGUGGAUAUAAAUGCAGUUAAUUACUACUAUUGUAUUUAUUAUUAUUACAUAUUUCACUUUCAGUGUUGUGUUUAUGUUAUAACAGGGAUUUCCUGCCAGGCAAUGUUCAUUAUUUAUUCUUGUCGUUAGUUACUACGGCCAAAGUAUGUUAGCUUAAGACUGUAUGUUCUGUUUUUUGGCGGUAUUUGAGAGUGGUUUUGGAUUUAUCAGAGUGUUUGGAACAUUAUGUUUUAUUUUUCGUUAUGUGUAAAAGAUUAUAAGCCUACCACAUUGAAACUUUUGCAGAAUAAUGAUAGAAGUAGGAACGUUCCUCCACAGAAAAUGAACAUUUGUCAUAUUUUUGUCAGUAAUCAAAACACAUGAUAGAUCCUAGCUGACAGAGUGCUUGAUUUUAAGUGCUCUUUCAUUAUUUUCUCUAAGGGCGAUAAUAAAUAAUAAAGAAAUUAAUAAAUUAUAAAAUCUUGC